UUGUAACAAUAGUGAAGGCGGUGUGCCAGAAGGGAUCUUGUGCCAAGAUGUACCAACAGUCACAUUCUCGGAACCUGUGCAACAGCCAACGCAUCAACUGCAAUAACAGCAACUGCCAACGCAGCUCGAACAAGAACUAUUCGAACAACACCAACUAGUGCGGGAUUUGAUGAAAGAGGUUGAUAUAUAUAAAAAAUACAUUAAAGUCAUGCAACGGCAGCUGGAACAACAGAAGCUGCAACUAGCAGAAAAAGAAAAACGACAGGCAGAGCAGCAGCAGCAACGACC